rnacentral:rRNA from 1 species
UACACUCCUACGGGAGGCAGCAGUGGGGAAUAUUGGACAAUGGGCGCAAGCCUGAUCCAGCCAUGCCGCGUGAGUGAUGAAGGCCCUAGGGUUGUAAAGCUCUUUCACCGGUGAAGAUAAUGACGGUAACCGGAGAAGAAGCCCCGGCUAACUUCGUGCCAGCAGCCGCGGUAAUACGAAGGGGGCUAGCGUUGUUCGGAUUUACUGGGCGUAAAGCGCACGUAGGCGGACUAUUAAGUCAGGGGUGAAAUCCCGGGGCUCAACCCCGGAACUGCCUUUGAUACUGGUAGUCUUGAGUUCGAGAGAGGUGAGUGGAAUUCCGAGUGUAGAGGUGAAAUUCGUAGAUAUUCGGAGGAACACCAGUGGCGAAGGCGGCUCACUGGCUCGAUACUGACGCUGAGGUGCGAAAGCGUGGGGAGCAAACAGGAUUAGAAACCCUUGUAGUCCCAUGA